UACGGGGGGGGCAAGCGUUGUUCGGAAUUACUGGGCGUAAAGGGCUCGUAGGUGGCCAACUAAGUCGGACGUGAAAUCCCUCAGCUUAACUGGGGAACUGCGUCCGAUACUGGAUGGCUCGAGUUCGGGAGAGGGAUGUGGAAUUCCAGGUGUAGCGGUGAAAUGCGUAGAUAUCUGGAGGAACACCGGUGGCGAAGGCGGCAUCCUGGACCGACACUGACGCUGAGGAGCGAAAGCCAGGGGAGCAAACGGG
rnacentral:rRNA from 1 species